rnacentral:rRNA from 1 species
ACACGACUCUCGGCAACGGAUAUCUCGGCUCUCGCAUCGAUGAAUAACGUAGCGAAAUGCGAUACCUGGUGUGAAUUGCAGAAUCCCGCGAACCAUCGAGUCUUUGAACGCAAGUUGCGCCCGAGGCCAUUCGGCCGAGGGCACGCCUGCCUGGGCGUCACGC